ensembl:lncRNA
CUUAUUUCUUGCGGUCUUUGGGCUAGUUUCCAACUUGUCUGAGUGCAGCUGCUGCAAGGGAAGAUUGUGGGUCCAUGUGCAAUGUUCUCCUAUUCUUUGUUGCUAAUGCAGUUUGUCUUUUCUCUUUCCUUUGUCAAAGUGAAAGCUUAUUUCAGGUUCCUCUGCUUCUAGCAUUGGCCUCAACUGAACAUGCUGGCAAAAUACCUGUAGUGGAAAUGCUAAGUCAGAGCUUGAACCAGUGAUUGAGCACCUGGUGGGAAGGCAGGGCCAACCAAGGGGAGCUCAGGUGCAUGCAAUGUAACUGAGUGACCAGAAGGGAUGGAGCCAGGAUCCACCCCUUCCUAGACAUCACACAAGUGUUGGCAGUGGAGGCAAGCAAGGACUUCUGAAGCAAGGGGAUGUUAUCCUGUGCUACCGUGACCACCAGCAUUUGGGGAGAUGGAAGCUGCAUUUAAGGAUUCUGCCAGGCAAAAGAGAGAAGUGACCCUGGACCCUUCAGUUCAUAGAGAGCUGGUUGGCACUUACUUUGGUUGGCCCAAAGGAAAUACAAUCAAGUGUGUGUGAAAGAGCAAGCACUGGGUCACAGCUCCGAGAGCAGCAGUAAGAAGCACUCUUUCUCUGCAAAGCAAGGGGCUUAUGGGCAAAACACAGCCAUUCUCAGACAGCUCAAUGAAACACACACAACCUGAACAAAAACAGCAGCACCAUGACUUUUCCUUGUCACAGCUCAAAGGAGGAAGCAACUGCAUCUGCUACCCAGACUGCACGCUGCUAUUUCCAGGUGUGUUUUCCCCCUGCCAAACCUGCAGCAUAGGAAGCAAGCCCUGCCUGUUGCAUGGCUGGCUAAUCUCCUAUCAUUCAUUCUUCCAUUCAGCAAUGUAGCAUUGUGUGUUCUGUGUUUGGUAUUGCUGAAAUAAAGAGCAUAACUUGAGACAGAGUACAUAUGCCUGAAGAUUUUCUAGAAAGCAUAAACCUGAAGAAGAGAACAAAUUUUGCAUUGUGACCUUUAUUUUGAACUUCUUUACUUUCUUGCAGUGUGGGACAGGGACUUGAUUUUGUCCAGGACAACAGCAAUAACUUUUUUUCUUAGAGACUGGCCCUAGUGCUGCAGAAUUUAGGCUUUUUAGUCCUUGAGUGAUGAAGACUUGAUGAAGUGCUGGGUCUGCAGACAAGCUGGAAAAAUAACUUCUGCAGCCAAAUACAAGCUUCUUCAGCCUCAGCAGGCGCUCUCUUUAGUGGAGGAGAACCACCUUG